rnacentral:ncRNA from 1 species
UCCCUGGUUGAUCCUGCCAGUAGUCAUAUGCUUGUCUCAAAGAUUAAGCCAUGCAUGUCUCAGUGCAUGCCGAAUUAAGGUGAAACCGCGAAUGGCUCAUUAAAUCAGUUAUGGUUCAUUAGAUUGUACCCACAUUUACUUGGAUAACUGUGGUAAUUCUAGAGCUAAUACAUGCAAAACAGAGUCCCGACCAGUGAUGGAAGGGACGCUUUUAUUAGAUCAAAACCAAUCGGUGGCGGGCGGCUCGCCGUUCGUCCACCGUUUAUUUUGGUGACUCUGAAUAACUUUGUGCUGAUCGCACGGUCCUAGCACCGGCGACGCAUCUUUCAAAUGUCUGCCUUAUCAACUGUCGAUGGUAGGUUCUGCGCCUACCAUGGUUGUAACGGGUAACGGGGAAUCAGGGUUCGAUUCCGGAGAGGGAGCCUGAGAAACGGCUACCACAUCCAAGGAAGGCAG